rnacentral:rRNA from 1 species
CCUACGGGAGGCAGCAGUGAGGAAUAUUGGUCAAUGGGCGAGAGCCUGAACCAGCCAAGUCGCGUGAGGGAGUACUGCCCUAUGGGUUGUAAACCUCUUUUGUCGGGGAGCAAAAGCCGGACGUGUCCGGCUGUGAGAGUACCCGAAGAAAAAGCAUCGGCUAAAUCCGUGCCAGCCACCGCGGUACUACGAAGGAUGCGAGCGUUAUCCGGAUUUCUUUGGUUUAAAGGGUGCGCAGGCGGGUUUUUAAGUCAGCGGUCAAAUAGUGGGGCUCAACCCCAUCCAGCCGUUGAAACUGGGGAUCUAGAGUGUGCGAGAGGUAUGCGGAAUGCGUGGUGUAGCGGUGAAAUGCAUAGAUAUCACGCAGAACCCCGAUUGCGAAGGCAGCAUACCGGUGCACAACUGACGCUCAGGCACGAAAGCGUGGGUAUCGAACAGGAUUAGAUACCCUUGUAGUC